CAAAAACUAAAAUGAUCAAAAUAGUAUUUUAUCUUUUGAAAAAUUUAAAUUUUUUUUAUUUUUCAAAAUUUAAAAUCUUAUCCCAAAACCCCACUCCGUAAUGCUAAACCCUAAACCCUAAACCAUAAAUCCUAAAUCCUAAACCCUAAAUCCUAAACUCCACCCCUUAACUCUAAACCCUAAACCCUAAACCCACCCCUAAACUCUAAACUCUAAACCUUAAACCCUAAACCCUAAAUCCUAAACCCCACCCCUUAACUCUAAACCCCACCUCUUAACUCUAAACCCUAAUGUCUAAAUUAAUUUACCAUUGGGGUAUAAGUGUAUAUUUAUCUCUUUUGAUAAAACAUUAAGUACUAUUUUGGUCAUUUUUAUUUUUAGAAGUUAUAU
rnacentral:lncRNA from 1 species